GUGGCUUGUGCCUAGCUAACAAGCAUAUGCAGAAGUAGAAAUUUAAGGUACUAAUGGAAGAACUCAAGGUCACAAACUGAGGUGUCCAUGAAAUUUAGGUGCCUCCAUCUGAACAUGGAAUUUCAAAAUAUGCUAGCAACAACUAUUAUCAUUCUUGAUCUACUGAUUUGUUUCUACUUUACAGACUUUCGUGUCCAUUUAUCUUGCGUAUUCUACAGACUGCAAUAUUAAGCAAUGACUUAUUUUACUUCAGCUAUUUCCAUAUACCUGGUGCUUUGAUGGCCUAUAAUGGUUUACAGAAAUGACCAUAUAUUGAAGCUCAGUCUGCCUUUGUCCCCUUGAGCAUAUCUUGUCUGAAAAACCACGCAAUAUGUGAAGACUUAUGUAAUUACAAAUUAUGAGAAGAUAGAUAAAGUGGAAAUUUGACUAAAUUUGAAUCUCUGUGUAUUUCUGUUCAGCCAUACUUUGAUUAGAGAGCUUGUGUUUAGAAGAUUUUGUUAUAUUUUGAGCUUUAGAAGGUAGGCACAAUAAAAAUAAGUAUGAAUAAGGAUUAUAAUAAAAUAUAAUGGAUAAUCCAUGGACUAUUGAUUCUACACAUAUUAACUGCUCAUGACCUGCAUAGAGGCCAAUCUGGGACCAUUUAACACAUGUUCAUAGGCAGGAUGGAUUAUAACGGAUGGAAACUAUUAUAGUGUCAAAACUGAAGCUGGUCAAAUAUUCAUUGCAAGCAAUCCCUUUUGUUUCUCUGUGGACCCUUCUGAACAUGUUGGAUUCAGAUCCAUUGAGGACAACUGGAGGAGAUAGAACUACCCUCUUUCAAAAUGGCUUCUUUGUGGAAUUAUCUCCAGUAAAA